GAUCAUCUAAUGAGGGGACAAGGCUGCUCCAGUAGCACUGCUUCACUCAAUUAGUGGACAAGGCUUUUAAUGCCGCUCUGCACAACUAAAGCAAUUUUGAUUACUUAGAGCUAAGUCUCCAUUUAGAAUGUUUCGGAAGCUGAAACAGGGUUUCUUUCUUUUUUUUCCCUUUAAUAUAAUUUAUCUUGAGAGUAUUUGAAUGGGAGAAAAUAUCCUGAAGUGUGGGUGGCCCCCUAAGCAGCAAAAUUAUUGCUAAUAGAAGCAUUUCGUUAUAACAGCAUCUCAUUAUCACAUGCAGGGCAUUAAUCGAAGCACCUUAUUUAAGGUGGGAAAGAGCUUUGCUGUUGGAAGAUGAUUCAGCACAGUAUCUUCUGAUGAGUGAUGUCAUCUCAAAUCCUUUUCAGAUACAGAAGAAUGCUUCUUAUCUGCAGCAGAGCCACAUUGCCUGACCGUUUGGGUCCUGCAUGGCACACGUUUCGUACACGUGCUGCCUCCACCAGUAUCAAGCACUGCUGAGUUUGUGUGGAAGGGCAACAACUCCACCUAACAAAUACAUUCAUCUGGAAAGAGGCAAGAAUGGAACGAGAUUCUGAUACUGAAGCUACUAUUUAUUAUUUGUAAAUCAAUUUGACACCUUUGGAACCAAAGCAGCAACCCAAGAACAAAGUAUGAUUUAGCCUCAAGUGUAAAGUGAGCCACUACCAAGAUGUUCCUGCCAGUGACUCUGCCUCAGGUGUCCUGGAAAAGCUGCUGUGGACAGUUGUGACCUGGCUAAUCAACUGGACAGGAAAAAGCUACUAACCAUAAAACAGAGGCCAAAAUUCUUGUUAGCAUUGCUGUAUCUCAUAGUAUUGUCUGUGUAGCUUUCUUUCCCCCAUUUUUUCUUCCAUGCAGUCAUAAAGAGUUCUAAGUUCAAACUGCCCUGAAUA